CAAGUCGAGCGGUAGAGUGACUUCGGUUGCUUGAGAGCGGCGCACGGGUGAGUAACGCGUACAUGACCUACCUUCAAGACCGGAAUAGCCCUGGGAAACUGGGAUUAAUACCGGAUGUGAUAAUAAGUAUAGAGAUUUAUUAUUAAAGUUACGGCGCUUGGAGAUGGGUGUGCGUCUGAUUAGCUAGUUGGUGAGGUAACGGCUCACCAAGGCGACGAUCAGUAGGGGGCGUGAGAGCGUGACCCCCCACACGGGUACUGAGACACGGACCCGACUCCUACGGGAGGCAGCAGUAAGGAAUAUUGGUCAAUGGGCGAAAGCCUGAACCAGCCAUCCCGCGUGCAGGAUGAAGGUCCUAUGGAUUGUAAACUGCUUUUAUCAGGGAAGAAACGCCUUCAUUCAUGGGGGUCUGACGGUACCUGAGGAAUAAGCACCGGCUAACUCCGUGCCAGCAGCCGCGGUAAUACGGAGGGUGCGAGCGUUAUCCGGAAUCACUGGGUUUAAAGGGUGCGUAGGCGGGGAAUUAAGUCAGUGGUGAAAGCCUGUCGCUUAACGGUAGAAUUGCCAUUGAUACUGAUUUUCUUGAAUUGGGUUGAGGUUAGCGGAAUGUGACAUGUAGCGGUGAAAUGCAUAGAUAUGUCAUGGAACACCAAUUGCGAAGGCAGCUAGCUGGGCCUUGAUUGACGCUGAGGCACGAAAGCGUGGGUAGCGAACAGGAUUAGAUACCCUGGUAGUCCACGCCCUAAACGAUGCUAACUCGAUGUGUGGGAGAAAUUUUGCGCAUCCAAAGGGAAACCGAUAAGUUAGCCACCUGGGGAGUACGACCGCAAGGUUGAAACUCAAAGGAAUUGACGG
rnacentral:rRNA from 1 species